rnacentral:rRNA from 1 species
GAUCCUGGCUCAGGAUGAACGCUAGCGGCAGGCCUAAUACAUGCAAGUCGAACGGAUAUAUGUUUUUCGGAAUAUAUAUUAGUGGCGCACGGGUGAGUAACACGUACAUAACUUGCCCUCAAGCGGGGGAUAGCCUUGGGAAACUGAGAGUAAUACCCCAUAGAAUUAUUGGACGGCAUCGUUUGAUAAUUAAAACUACGGUGCUUGGGGAUAGAUGUGCGUCUGAUUAGCUAGUUGGUGAGGUAACUGCUCACCAAGGCGACGAUCAGUAGGGGGCGUGAGAGCGUGGCCCCCCACACGGGUACUGAGACACGGACCCGACUCCUACGGGAGGCAGCAGUAAGGAAUAUUGGUCAAUGGAGGGAACUCUGAACCAGCCAUGCCGCGUGAAGGAUGACGGCCCUCUGGGUUGUAAACUUCUUUUAGAUGGGGCGAAAAAACGGGAUUUAUCCUGGACUGACGGUACCAUCAGAAUAAGCACCGGCUAACUCCGUG